UACGAAGGGGGGCUAGCGUUGCUCGGAAUCACUGGGCGUAAAGGGUGCGUAGGCGGGUCUUUAAGUCAGGGGUGAAAUCCUGGAGCUCAACUCCAGAACUGCCUUUGAUACUGAGGAUCUUGAGUUCGGGAGAGGUGAGUGGAACUGCGAGUGUAGAGGUGAAAUUCGUAGAUAUUCGCAAGAACACCAGUGGCGAAGGCGGCUCACUGGCCCGAUACUGACGCUGAGGCACGAAAGCGUGGGGAGCAAAGCAG
rnacentral:rRNA from 1 species